CCUACGGGUGGCAGCAGUGGGGAAUAUUGCACAAUGGGGGAAACCCUGAUGCAGCGACGCCGCGUGUGGGAAGACGGACCUCUGGAUUGUAAACCACUGUCCCCAGGGACGAAAAUGCCGGUACCUGGGGAGGAAGCUCCGGCUAACUACGUCCCAGCAGCAGCGGGAAUACGAAGGGAGCAAGCGUUGUCCGGAAUUACUGGGUGUAAAGGGCGGGUAGGCGGGACUGCAAGUCAGAUGUGAAAACCAGGGGCUCAACCUGUGGACUGCAUUGGAAACUGUAGUGCUGGAGUGCUGGAGAGGGAGGUGGAAGUCCUAGUGUAGCGGUGAAAUGCGUAGAUAUUAGGAGGAACACCAGUGGCGAAGGCGGUCUGCUGGACUGCAACUGACGUUGAGGCGCGAAAGCGUGGGGAGCAAACAGGAUUAGAUACCCCGGUAGUC
rnacentral:rRNA from 1 species